CAUGUAAGUUAUGUAAGCUCCUUCGGUUAGUUACCUUUAAAUCUUUGAUAGCGGUGCAGUUUCUAAGCAAUUUCCAUUAGUGAUCACUGUAUGUAGGCUUUAGGAAGCGAUGGGUGUGCACCAUGCAUUCUUUUGUUCAGUUCCAGAAAUUGCUUAAUAGUAUUUCAGGAUGGGAGUUAAAUUGGAGGAUGUUUACACAGCAAUUACUAGGUACUAAACUAACCAUGCGGCGAAACUCCUUGUUUUUAGUCCAAGAAGCACUGAUCUGAAUCAUAUCGUGUCACCACUGAUGAGUAGCUUGUAGUGGAUCUUUGCAAAUCCACUAUUUCAAUAUGUUACACCACAGGAAUUAAGGAGCAAAUUUUAAAACAACUCUUAUUUGUUUUCAUUCCUUUACAUUAACUUGCCAGCUGGGCUGAUGGAGGGGUGCGUUCAAACAAAUGAUUUCCUGCUCUCUUUCUGAAAACUACCAGUUAUCAGGUGCAUAGACCCACAACAUUCAAGCAUGACCUUAUUACAAAUUGAAGGGCAUUUUAAUUACACAACAUAUGGGGGGGAGGGGGACACACAACCCAACGGGGCUCUGUCUGCAGAUGUAUCCUGCUAUGUUAUAAAAUGCGUGCAGAGAUCUCAUCAACGUGCAGCAGCGGCUGUUAUCAAAACAAUGCACCACGCCACGGCCUUAAUUGUCAAUGCAAUUAAACAGCGAGAGGCUCUUACCUUUCGGACCCCACUAAAGCCAUAUUCGGCAGCGAGUUGCUUCGCUUCUGGCUCGCCCCCUCGGUGCAACUCCACCAAAAAAUGAUUCGUGUAGACGGCUAUUUCAGCGGAUGCCAAAAGAAGGAGACCCAGGCACAAGAGCCCAGCGAUGGUCCCCGGGGUAAUGCAGCCUCCCUUCAUGGCUCUUGCCUAGUAGAGGGAGAGAAUAAAUACACUAACCCGCCGCCGAGGAGAGUAAAGAUUUGGGGGGAGGCUAAGCCGGGUGCUGCUGAAUGCAGCACAUCAGCGUGUGCGCUCCCUCGGCAGCUGGCGCGGGGAGGAGGCGAGGCGGGGGAAGUCGGCUGGGCGGCUCGUGAGCUGCUGCGGGUGGGUCUGUGCGCGGGGGGUUCGCGGCCAGAUCUGCAUUGUCAGCUCCUCCUCGCCGCUAGUUCCGCGGCGGCUCCAGGAAAGCACCAACCGGCCGAGAACAAGUUCCUCGUUGGUGCCUCUCUCCUCCCCUGAUUGAAAUCAUUAGCAGCUAACAAGGAUCUUACAAUCAAAUACAGGUCUCCAUACCCACAUGUAUUUGGAACACUCUACUUUGAAGCAUGCUGAAAUCAGUAAAGAAGUGCCUUCUAAAGUGCCUUUCAUCUCUGUAUCUCAAAGUGCUUUACAAACAGUCAUGUGAGAAGCCUCCAGACACCUUUGUAAAAGUAGGCAAUUUUACAGGUCUGGAAAUUACAAGCGACAAAGAAGUCACACAACUUGGUCAAGAUCACACCACAGUCAGCCAGUGCCAGAGCCAGGAAUAGAACCCUACUCUGACAUGCUGCUGCCCUCACAAAUGGCAUGUAGAUGUCACACCGUUUUAAAGUGUCCAUAGCUUUCUUAUUUCUAGGCUUGGAAGGAUUCAAUUUUUAUCCAUAAGUAUUGGUAAACGUCAGUUUCACCACACACACACACACACAAACACACAAACCAAUGAAAAAAUAGUUCCAUCGAUAAUAAUCGAAAUUUUCAGAGAGAGGCAAAGUAAGAAAAAUACUGCUUGAGAACUUAGAGUUUGAUUUAAGGCUAUUUAACUUUGUAUAUCUUGACAUAUGCUGAGGACAAUGUGUGUUUUAACAAUUAGAAAGCUUUAACUUUUUGAAUUUCAACCUCCGCUGUCAUUAAAUAAUUAUUGUCUGGCCCCCUCAUAAUUUCCUGCAACUGAAAAUUUAAAUAGAUAACAAAUCAGAAAAAAAAGUGCUUAAAAAUAAACAUCAGUAUUAUCUGUUGAAAUUAUAAAAA
ensembl:lncRNA